rnacentral:rRNA from 1 species
GAAUCGUCGAAGGUGGGACUGGCGAUUGGGACGAAGUCGUAACAAGGUAGCCGUACCGGAAGGUGCGGCUGGAUCACCUCCUUUCUAAGGAG